CGAAAGCCUGACGGAGCAACGCCGCGUGAGGGAGGAAGGCUCUUGGGUUGCAAACCUCUUUUCUCAAGGAAGAUAAUGACGGUACUUGAGGAAUCAGCAUCGGCUAACUCCGUGCCAGCAGCCGCGGUAAUACGGAGGAUGCAAGCGUUAUCCGGAAUAAUUGGGCGUAAAGCGUUCGUAGGUGGUGAUGUAAGUCUGCUGUUAAAGCGUGUAGCUUAACUACAUAUAGGCGGUGGAAACUACAUGACUAGAGUGCGUUCGGGGCAGAGGGAAUUCCUGGUGUAGCGGUGAAAUGCGUAGAUAUCAGGAAGAACACCGGUGGCGAAGGCGCUCUGCUAGGCCGUAACUGACACUGAGGGACGAAAGCUAGGGGAGCG
rnacentral:rRNA from 1 species